ensembl:snoRNA U3 Small nucleolar RNA U3
AAGACUAUACUUUUAGAGAUCAUUUCUAUACUUCUUAACUCCGAAAUGUGUUUUUAAAGUGAUUAGUCUCCCAAACCACGAUGAUGAUUCUUGAUAUUCUUUUCUUAACGUGACUCAGAUGCAGAUAGAUGAUUCAAUUUAUUUGCUCUGGAUCAUUGGUGAAUGUUUCUCGUUGUGUCUCACAGCAGAGGACGAAAAGAGAAUGAGCAGAGUGGC